rnacentral:misc_RNA from 1 species
GAUGAAGAACGCAGCGAAAUGCGAUAAGUAGUGUGAAUUGCAGAAUUCAGUGAAUCAUCGAAUCUUUGAACGCACAUUGCGCCCCUUGGUAUUCCAUGGGGCAUGCCUGUUCGAGCGUCAUUUGUACCCUCAAGCUUUGCUUGGUGUUGGGUGUUUGUCCUCUCCUUUGCGUUUGGACUCGCCUUAAAGCAAUUGGCAGCCAGUGUUUUGGUAUUGAAGCGCAGCACAUUUUGCGAUUCUAGCCGAUAAUACUUGCGUCCAUAAGCCUUUUUUAACUUUUGACCUCGGAUCAGGUAGGGAUACCCGCUGAACUUAAGCAUAUCAUAAGCGGAGGA